rnacentral:rRNA from 1 species
CGCUGUCACUCCUACGGGAGGCAGCAGUGGGGAAUAUUGCACAAUGGGCGCAAGCCUGAUGCAGCCAUGCCGCGUGUGUGAAGAAGGCCUUCGGGUUGUAAAGCACUUUCAGUCGUGAGGAAGGUAGUGUAGUUAAUAGCUGCAUUAUUUGACGUUAGCGACAGAAGAAGCACCGGCUAACUCCGUGCCAGCAGCCGCGGUAAUACGGAGGGUGCGAGCGUUAAUCGGAAUUACUGGGCGUAAAGCGCAUGCAGGUGGUUUGUUAAGUCAGAUGUGAAAGCCCGGGGCUCAACCUCGGAAUAGCAUUUGAAACUGGCAGACUAGAGUACUGUAGAGGGGGUAGAAUUUCAGGUGUAGCGGUGAAAUGCGUAGAGAUCUGAAGGAAUACCGGUGGCGAAGGCGGCCCCCUGGACAGAUACUGACACUCAGAUGCGAAAGCGUGGGGAGCAAACAGGAUUAGAUACCCUGGUAG